AUUGAACGCUGGCGGCAUGCUUUACACAUGCAAGUCGAACGGUAACAGGGAGCUUGCUCCGCUGACGAGUGGCGAACGGGUGAGUAAUAUAUCGGAACGUACCCAAGAGUGGGGGAUAACGUAGCGAAAGUUACGCUAAUACCGCAUACGAUCUAUGGAUGAAAGCAGGGGACCUUCGGGCCUUGUGCUCCUGGAGCGGCCGAUAUCUGAUUAGCUAGUUGGUGAGGUAAAGGCUCACCAAGGCGACGAUCAGUAGCUGGUCUGAGAGGACGACCAGCCACACUGGAACUGAGACACGGUCCAGACUCCUACGGGAGGCAGCAGUGGGGAAUUUUGGACAAUGGGCGCAAGCCUGAUCCAGCAAUGCCGCGUGAGUGAAGAAGGCCUUCGGGUUGUAAAGCUCUUUUGUAAGGGAAGAAACGGCUGUGGCUAAUAUCCACGGCUAAUGACGGUACCUGAAGAAUAAGCACCGGCUAACUACGUG
rnacentral:rRNA from 1 species